rnacentral:rRNA from 1 species
GACGAACGCUGGCGGCGUGCUUAACACAUGCAAGUCGAACGGAAAGGCCCUGCUUUUUUGGGGUGCUCGAGUGGCGAACGGGUGAGUAACACGUGAGUAACCUUCCCUUUACUUUGGGAUAACUUCAUGAAACUGGGGCUAAUACCGGAUAGGAGCUCCUGCUGCAUGGUGUGGGUUGGAAAGUUUCGGCGGUUGGGGAUGUACUCGCGGCUUAUCAGCUUGUUGGUGGGGUAGUGGCUUACCAAGGCUUUGACGGGUAGCCGGCCUGAGAGGGUGACCGGCUACAUUGGGACUGAGAUACGGCCCAGAUUCCUACGGGAGGCAGCAGUGGGGAAUAUUGCACAAUGGGCGGAAGCCUGAUGCAGCAACUCCGCGUGCGGGAUGACGGCCUUCGUGUUGUAAACCGCUUUAGCCUGUGACGAAGCGUGAGUGACGGUAAUGGGUAAAGAAGCACCGGCUAAGUACGUG